CCCUUAGAUGUCCUGGGCCGCACGCGCGCUACACUGAUGCAUGCAACGAGUUUAUAACCUUGGCCUGAAAGGUCUGGGUAAUCUUUUGAACGUGCAUCGUGAUAGGGAUAGAUUAUUGCAAUUGUUAAUCUUGAACGAGGAAUUCCUAGUAAACGCGAGUCAUCAGCUCGCAUUGAUUACGUCCCUGCCCUUUGUACACACCGCCCGUCGCACCUACCGAUUGAAUGGUUCGGUGAAGAACUCGGACUUCGAUAUUUAUUCUUUAUUGAGUUUAUAUUGUGGGAAGUUAUCUAAACCUCAUCAUUUAGAGGAAGGUGAAGUCGUAACA
rnacentral:rRNA from 1 species